rnacentral:lncRNA from 7 species
UUUCACUUUUUUAUGCGAAAUUUUAUUCUUACUCAUAAUAAUAAUGUGCUCGACAAUAUAAUAAAAGUUUAGCACCAAAUUUGAUGCUUCAGUUACGUGAUUUGACCUGGCAUGAAAUGACAAGCCUUGCUAAAGCUCGAUUUGUCGUCCCAUUCCGAUCGUCCCGUUCAUCACCUCGAUAAGUAUUAUAAUUCACGACAGAUGCCAGCCAGGCUGGCAAGUGUGAGGCAGACAGCCAGUGGGGCAUGCACGGACCAAACCAUCGCCCGGACAGGAGCUUCUUUCUUCUGCCCGUUCUUCUCUGCUGUAAUCCCUUGCAUUGGUCCUCGCUAUGUUAAUAUACGACGAGAUCGCGGUCAGUCAACUCUUUAUUAUUGCUAAUUGCAUACUCUAUCAGACAUAGCGGCUUGC